rnacentral:rRNA from 1 species
UACGGAGGGGGCUAGCGUUGUUCGGAAUUACUGGGCGUAAAGCGCGCGUAGGCGGAUCUGCAAGUCGGGGGUGAAAUCCCGAGGCUCAACCUCGGAACUGCCUUCGAUACUGCGGGUCUCGAGUCCGGAAGAGGUGAGUGGAAUUCCUAGUGUAGAGGUGAAAUUCGUAGAUAUUAGGAAGAACACCAGUGGCGAAGGCGGCUCCACUGGCCCGGUACUGACGCUGAGG